rnacentral:rRNA from 1 species
GAUGAACGCUGGCGGCGUGCUUAACACAUGCAAGUCGAACGAAGCAUUUAAGACAGAUUACUUCGGUUUGAAGUCUUUUAUGACUGAGUGGCGGACGGGUGAGUAACGCGUGGGUAACCUGCCUCAUACAGGGGGAUAGCAGCUGGAAACGGCUGGUAAUACCGCAUAAGCGCGCAGUACCACAUGGUACAGUGUGAAAAACUCCGGUGGUAUGAGAUGGACCCGCGUCUGAUUAGCUUGUUGGCGGGGUAACGGCCCACCAAGGCGACGAUCAGUAGCCGAACUGAGAGGGUGAACGGCCACAGUGGGACUGAGACACGGCCCAGACUCCUACGGGAGGCAGCAGUGGGGAAUAUUGCACAAUGGAGGAAACUCUGAUGCAGCGACGCCGCGUGAGUGAAGAAGUAGUUCGCUAUGUAAAGCUCUAUCAGCAGGGAAGAUAGUGACGGUACCUGACUAAGAAGCGCCGGCUAAAUACGUG